rnacentral:rRNA from 1 species
UACAGAGGGUGCGAGCGUUAAUCGGAAUUACUGGGCGUAAAGCGCGCGUAGGCGGCUUUGCAAGUCGAGUGUGAAAUCCCCGGGCUCAACCUGGGAACUGCAUUCGAGACUGCAUUGCUAGAGUAUGGGAGAGGGAAGUGGAAUUCAGGUGUAGCGGUGAAAUGCGCAGAUAUCAGGAAGAACACCCGUGGCUAAGGCGGCUCUCUAGUACGGUACUGGACGCUGAGACGCGAAAGCGUGGGGAGCGAACAGG